rnacentral:rRNA from 1 species
AGUGUUGUUGGGUAGGGGAGCGUUCUGUAAGCCUGCGAAGGUGUACUGUGAGGUAUGCUGGAGGUAUCAGAAGUGCGAAUGCUGACAUAAGUAACGAUAAUGCGGGUGAAAAACCCGCACGCCGGAAGACCAAGGGUUCCUGUCCAACGUUAAUCGGGGCAGGGUGAGUCGACCCCUAAGGCGAGGCUGAAAAGCGUAGUCGAUGGGAAACGGGUUAAUAUUCCCGUACUGGUGGUAACUGCGAUGGGGGAACGGAGAAGGCUAGGUUGUCCGGGCGACGGUCGUCCCGGUUCAAGCAGGUAGGCAGAGUGAUUAGGCAAAUCCGGUCACUUAAUGCUGAGAUGUGAUGACGAACCACUAAGGUGGUGAAGCAAUUGAUGCCCCGCUUCCAGGAAAAGCCUCUAAGCUUCAGGUUACCAACAAUCGUACCCCAAACCGACACAGGUGGUCAGGUAGAGAAUACUCAGGCGCUUGAGAGAACUCGGGUGAAGGAACUAGGCAAAAUGGUGCCGUAACUUCGGGAGAAGGCACGCUGGCGGUAGGUAAAGUCCCUCGCGGACGGCGCUGAAGCCAGUCGAAGAUACCAGCUGGCUGCAACUGUUUAUUAAAAACACAGCACUGUGCAAACACGAAAGUGGACGUAUACGGUGUGACGCCUGCCCGGUGCUGGAAGGUUAAUUGAUGGGGUCAGCCGUAAGGCGAAGCUCCUGAUCGAAGCCCCAGUAAACGGCGGCCGUAACUAUAACGGUCCUAAGGUAGCGAAAUUCCUUGUCGGGUAAGUUCCGACCUGCACGAAUGGCGUAAUGAUGGCCAGGCUGUCUCCACCCGAGACUCAGUGAAAUUGAACUCGCUGUGAAGAUGCAGUGUACCCGCGGCAAGACGGAAAGACCCCGUGAACCUUUACUAUAGCUUGACACUGAACAUUGAGCCUUGAUGUGUAGGAUAGGUGGGAGGCUUUGAAGUGUGGACGCCAGUCUGCAUGGAGCCAACCUUGAAAUACCACCCUUUAACGUUUGAUGUUCUAACCUAGGCCCAUAAACUGGGUCGGGGACCGUGUCUGGUGGGUAGUUUGACUGGGGCGGUCUCCUCCUAAAGAGUAACGGAGGAGCACGAAGGUUGGCUAAGCAUGGUCGGACAUCAUGCGGUUAGUGCAAAGGCAUAAGCCAGCUUGACUGCGAGAGUGACGGCUCGAGCAGGUACGAAAGUAGGUCUUAGUGAUCCGGUGGUUCUGAAUGGAAGGGCCAUCGCUCAACGGAUAAAAGGUACUCCGGGGAUAACAGGCUGAUACCGCCCAAGAGUUCAUAUCGACGGCGGUGUUUGGCACCUCGAUGUCGGCUCAUCACAUCCUGGGGCUGAAGUAGGUCCCAAGGGUAUGGCUGUUCGCCAUUUAAAGUGGUACGCGAGCUGGGUUUAGAACGUCGUGAGACAGUUCGGUCCCUAUCUGCCGUGGGCGUUGGAAGAUUGAGAGGGGUUGCUCCUAGUACGAGAGGACCGGAGUGAACGCACCACUGGUGUUCGGGUUGUCAUGCCAAUGGCAUUGCCCGGUAGCUAAGUGCGGAAGAGAUAACCGCUGAAAGCAUCUAAGCGGGAAACUUGCCUCGAGAUGAGUCUUCCCUGUCGCUUUAAG